rnacentral:tRNA from 1 species
GGUGGCUCAGUGGUAGAGUGCUUGCCUGGCAUGCACGAGGGCCUGGGUUCGAUUCCUCAGUACCA